AAGGCGGGCUCGGGUGGCUGGCAGCGCCUGGGAGGGCCAGGUCGGAGAGAGGAAGCUCCUCCCCUGUGCGCCCCGCCGCCGCAGAGUUGACCAGUCUCUAGAAGAGAAGAGUCCGCUCCGGCUCCGGAUAAGCAGCGGCUUGGCGUGCGCUGCGCGGAGAAUGGACGGCCUCGUGACCUCAUGUCCGGCAGGCUGUAGUGCCUGCCGAGCCGGCUCGCGCAGGGGGUGGAGCCGCGGGAGCGGCGGGCACUUCCGGAAUCGAUCGGCUGCUUGAGUGCCCGCGCCACCCGCUACCAUGAACGAGGAGGCCAUCUGCAGCGUCCUGCCCACCAUCCCGUACCACAAGCUCGCCGACUUGCGCUACCUGAGCCGCGGCGCGUCCGGCACCGUGUCUUCUGCCCGCCACGCAGACUGGCGCGUUCGGGUGGCCGUGAAACACCUGCACAUUCACAGCCCGCUGCUCGACAGUGAUUGGUGAAUUAUUCUCUGUAACCUGACUUCUGCCCAUGAGAGGACCUUCCCCAGCAAUCUCCCAACGCCUCAUGAAUAGAAAAAUGAAUAUCCUGAUGUUCCUUGGCCAUUAGGAUUUCGUAUUCUGCAUGAAAUUGCACUAGGUGUAAAUGACCUGCACAAUAUGAAUCCUCCUCUACUUCAUCAUGACCUGAAGACUCAGAAUAUCUUAUUAGAUAAUGAAUUUCACGUUAAGGGUCUUUCACAGAGCAAAAGUUGUAAUUUAUUUCUUUUAUGAUCAUGCUUCUGCUGUCGUGUCUAAGCACUCUUCACGAAGCCACAGCCUCUCACUGUCGUGGCCUCUCCCCUUGCAGAGCACAGGCUCCGGACGCGCAGGCCCAGCGGCCAUGGCUCACGUGCCCAGCCGCUCCGCGGCACGUGGGAUCCUCCCGGACCGGGGCACGAACCCGCGUCCCCCGCAUCAGCAGGAGGACUCUCAACCACUGCGCCACCAGGGAAGCCCAUAAAUAUGUUUUAUAUGCUAACUAUACUAUUGUUAACAGAUAUUCUUUUAGUGGUAGGCAUAAAUCAUAUAAUAAUGAGUUAUACUAUAUUGGAAUUUUACUUAUUUCAAAAUUUAAGGAUACUAUUUUUAGCACAUUAUAAAUAAGAACAUAUAAACCUGAGUUGUAAACAAUACCCAGUGACAAUCGUAUUAGAUAUGACUAGUUUAGCAGUUUUGUGAGGCAUAGGUAAAUUUUGAAAGCACAUGAUAUAAAGCUACUUGUCACAAAAAGUGAAGUGUAUAUACUCAUUCAGAAUAAAAGGCAAAAAUACUCCUGUUUAAGUUUCCAAAACUUAGUCUCUUAAAAUUUGUAAUAUUAUGCUGAACUUCAAGUCAGUUUAUAUUGCUUUUAGAGUUGUUGGGUUCAGCACUAUGGAAUCCAAUUUGUUAAGAAACUAAUAGACUAUUAUAGAAAUAAAAUAUUAAUAUAUAUAGCAUUUACUCUGGUCUCAUGUCUAAAUAUAAUAAAUAUAAACAAAAACAAUUCUUGAAUUUUUUUAAAGAGAAAAUUUAAAAAUUCAAUUACUCUUUUCCCUUCCAGAUUGCAGAUCUUGGCUUAUCAAAAUGGCGCAUGAUGUCCCUCUCACAAUCACGAAGUAGUAAAUCUGCACCAGAAGGAGGGACAAUUAUCUAUAUGCCACCUGAAAACUAUGAACCUGGACAAAAAUCAAGGGCUACUAUCAAGCAUGAUAUAUACAGCUAUGCAGUUAUCACAUGGGAAGUCUUAUCUAGAAAACAGCCUUUUGAAGGUAAGUGUACUUUGACUUCCUUAUUCUAGGUGACAUCAUAUUGGUAAGUCAUACUCAGAACUAUCUGAAUAAAGAUCACUUAUUUUAAAUCUGCCUAACAGUCAUUUUGUGGAAAACACACUAGAAAAACAACAAUUUGUCACUGUGAAUCCACUGUAUGAUGGAAAGUACUGGAUUAAGGAUCAGAAAAAUGUGUAGAUUCUUCUUGUUCUGAUAGUAAUUAACUCUAUUAUAAGCCACUAAAUCUCUUAAGUCCUCAUUUUUUUUAUCUGCAAAAUAAGAAUUUUGAAUUCUUAUUUCUAAGAUUCAUUCCAGCUAUAAAAUCGUUUGUAUGAAAAUUUAACUAGUGCUUCUUCUAAAGACCAGCAAAUACUGAAGAAUACUUUUAAAAUUUUCUGAUAAUAUUGUCUCUUUCUUUAUUUUGAGGUUCAUUUAGGUCAGUUUGCUGUGUAACAACCUCAGAAUCUCAGUAGUUUACAAACUAAAUAUUUAUUUUUCAUUCACGUUGGGUUAUUAGUUGCUAUGGCCCUUCUUGGCUCUGCUAGGUUCUGCUCAGCUCUGCUGAGCUCUGUUUUACUCUGCUCUCUUCAUACUCCAUUGGCCAAAUCAAAUCACAUGGCCAAGCCCAGAAUUAAAGAGGUGAAGAUAUAAACUCCUCCCACGAGAGGCAGCAAGUCUGGCAAUAGCUGGGAUCUAAAUAUUCCUUUGACAGAAAGGGAAGUAAUGAAUUAUUCCUAAGCUUUUAAGAUUCCCUCAUGUUCAUUUGGUUGGCUUUAGAAUGUAUUUAAUAUAUUAAAUCAUAAUAUAUUUCUAAUGAAUGAAAUAUAUUUG